UGCCAUGGCAGGGACACCUCCCACUGUCCCAGACUGCUGCAAGCCCUGUCCAACCUGGCCUUGGGCACUGCCAGGGAUCCAGGGAUAGCCACAGCUUCUCUGGGAAUUCCUUCCCAGCCCCUCCUCAAUUCCUUCCCAAGAUCCAGUUUAAAUUUGGUUUUGAAGAUCUCCCAUUGGAAUGAUUUCUCCCCCUUGAAGCUACAAUAAUUUUCUUUGGAAUUGUAACAGUUGCAAAGAAGCAAACAAAAAAAGCAGCUUUUCAAACAAUCAGGACAAAUUCUCUGAUUAACCUCACCAUGCUUAUCCCCCCUGCAUAUUUAAUUAACGCUUUUUCUGAGAUUGGUUUAAAUGCGUGACCAGAAAUGAGACUAUUUCCCUGAAACAGGAAAACCACUCAGAUUUCUGAGGAAGUUUGAACACUUUAACCUGCUCUGUGUUCCCCAGGUGCUGAGGAGGCACCUGAGUGGUGCCACUUCACAUCCAGGAAUGAGAGCAAGAUUCCCAGACAAAUCCAGGGAAAUUGUGCUGCUCUCCUGCAGUCACCAGCCUGUAAUGGGGAGCAGAACUUGUCCCCAAAUUAGCUGAAAUUAAUCUGCUGCUAAUGUCCUUGGGCUGAUUUAGCCAAUAAAUGCAAAUCAGUGACCACUCACCAUUACUGCAACAGAACUGGGAUUUAAAGCAGAACCGGGAUUAAAGAAAGGCUCUGCAUUUUCAGCUGCCUGCAAUUGUAGCCUAAUUAAAUUUCUUUAAUGCAGCCAGAAAUUAAAGGGAAGCCUCGUUAGUGUUUUUGGGAUGAGGUGGAGUUUGAGGUAAAGACAGGAAGGGUUUUGAGCUUCCAGUCCCAGCUCUUAGCUGGUGUUUUAGGGUUAAAAAGUGGCAGAGAGAUGAAAAGUGAAUUAUUUCAGUUUUUGGCCUGGCCUAGGGGGUGUCACUCAUCAUCUGACUGGUGACAGAAUGUGUGGUCACAGCUGGCCCGGGCAGGUGGCAGAGCUCCCGGCAGAUGUUUGCAGCUGCAGAGCACAGCUGGACACAGCCCCACGUGUGGCUGGGUAAGAAAGCAGCCUAACAGAGGAUUUCCAGGAGAACCAAAAACCAAAUCCCAGCUUGAUGAAGACCCCUGGAGAAGUCCUGGCCCUUGUUCCCUUUUGUGUUGAUCAAGCACACCCCACUCCUGAGCAGAAAAGCAGAAUUUAAAAGGAAAUUUCAGCAUUUUCCAUCAGUCGUGAUUCUCUUUGGGAAAGCUUUGAAACAGGCAGAGAAAAACCUCUUUUCCCUGUGUGCUCCCAAAUCAAGGCAGUUUGGAAGAGACAGAAGGGGAUUCAAUUUAGCCAACUCAGCUCGUGCAGCAGAUGUCAAAGCACGGAGCUCGUUUGUCAUCAGCCUUCGUGGGGAAAAGUUUGCUCUCAGAAACCACUGAAGAAAACAACCUUGCUUGUAUAACAAGCCUCGUUGGCUGCUGGAUUUUCAAGCAGAUGCCUCCUUUCCUCAGAUCAAAUAGUUGAAAUAUCAUCCCUAGCCAGGUGUUAUCUGCACAGGUUUUAUUGGAAAAGGAGGAGUUGUUGUUGCACCUGGAGGAUGAUGGUUGUGCACCCCAAGCCCCGACUCAGGAAUUGGGCUGAGCUCUGGAUUUGGGAAGAGUCAGACAGGAAAGGAACCCAUCCGACUCUGGCUCCUGGGAGAAGCAUCCCAAGUGUGGAAAAAUUUGCAUCCAAGAAAAAUAAUUGCUGGCUGAGGCUUUACUGAGCUGCUCCUGAGAGGUUCAGUGACCUCUGGGCUGUGGGAAUUGAGUGAAAAACACUGGGAGAAUUUGCUCUGCUGGGGAAACAUCCACACGAACCCAACAAACACCAGGAGCUCUUGGAGAUCUGCCUCCCUGGGCCUGUCUCACUUGAAUGCAGUUGGAAGGUAAAAACAAACUUCAAAAUGUCCAAAUAAUCCUAAAAGGUUCUCACUGCAGAGCCCCCAGAUUCUUGAUAUAACAAAAUUCACAUUGGAUGUCAAAGCCCAGCAACUGGUUUGUGGUUGCAUUAAAUCCAGGGCAGUCCUGGAACAGAAAUCCAAGGAACAGACACUUUCUGAAGGCUGUAAUUGCAAGGAUUUUCUCCUUCUGUCCUUUUGGAUGUAAAAUGAACAGAAUAUAUUUUGGAGAUAAUUUUCCAAAUGUUUCAGUUAAUUUUUCCCUUGUGCAAGUUGAUUUUAAACUUACCCAUGUUAAUUAUUACACAUGCAAAGGCUUGACACCUUUCACUACACCAGGCUGUUCAGAUAAGUCAGAUAAUCAUAUUUUUAAAUUUUUUUAGCAUGUCACAUUGUAGUCAACAAUUACUGAGUAGCUUUGUUGUGGUCAAGUGCCACAAAGCAGCAGCACAAACAAAAAUUUCCAAAAUUCAUCAACAAAUAUAUUGUCCUAAAAAAGUAGGCUAAAACCCAAGGCCAUUUGUACAUGAGAAGGUUCCCUACCAGAGCUGCUAGAUCACUAUUAAUUUAUUUGACAGCUUUUAGGCUGAGUUCAGAUAUUAGAGCUGUCAUUGUAAAAUACUUCCAUUUUUCCUUCAACGCUGCUUUGAGAUGCUGCUGCUUUGAAGCUGUGUCAAAGUAGCUCUGAAUCAGGAGAAACUUUCCAUUUUAUUUUUUUGUAAGUUGAAAGUCUGAAGA